rnacentral:rRNA from 1 species
UACGUAGGGUGCAAGCGUUGUCCGGAAUUAUUGGGCGUAAAGAGCUCGUAGGCGGUCUGUCGCGUCUGCUGUGAAAACUCAGGGCUUAACCCUGAGCUUGCAGUGGGUACGGGCAGACUAGAGUGCGGUAGGGGAGACUGGAAUUCCUGGUGUAGCGGUGAAAUGCGCAGAUAUCGGGAGGAACACCGGUGGCGAAGGCGGCGACCUGGGUCGAGACUGACGCUGAGGCGCGAAAGCGUGGGGAGCAAACAGG